CGCUUCAUUACGACUGCUCUGCUAAGGGCGCCUGUGACUCCUAACUGUUCUAAUUGACCCCCUAGUCCAUCCCUUCCCAGACCUGUCACCCAUGGGCUUGGGAGUUUAUCUCUGUAGCCUCCGGAACAUUCCUUGUGCCUCUCUGCUCCUUCCCGUGUCUCUCCUCUCAGCCUGUCCCUUAAAUAUGGCUGAUCCCCAGCCCCCACCACCAGGGCCAGGGCCUGGUGGGCCAGGAGGGACUCAGGCAGCAACACGGAAGGAGUCCCUGACUCUCGAGGCUGCAAGAUGCAGGGCCAACGCUGAGAGGAAGCCGCCUGCAGCCCAGCCACGACUGCUUAGACUGGAGCUUCAUCUCUCUCCCCUGGACGGUUGCAAUCAUCGCCCGGUCGCUCUCCCUGCCUCCAGAGGGAUGACCACCUGCUGCAGUCAACAUCCUCGUGCACAGGAAUCCAUGUGCAGAAUGAAUUCCCCUUCACUGGAGGACAAUUUUUACCACAAUUUAUAAACGCACAUGCCCUUUGACUCAGCAAUCCCAUUUCAGGGGAUUCGUCCUAUGCACACAUUCCUAUGUGUGAGGAUGUUAAUCCCAGGGUUGUUUGUAAUAGCAAGAAAUUGGAAACAGGCUCCAUGCUCACCCAUAGGGAAAAUACUGAAUACAAUGUGCUGGAUGUAUGGAACGUCUCACAGCCAACAAAGAGACCGAGGCAGCUCUCUAUGUUCUAACACAGAAUGACGUAGAUGGCGAAUAAACAGAAAGCAGGAGGUGAUCAGAGCGUAUGACGUGAUACUGCUGUGCUGAAAGCAGGAUGUGUACAUAUAUGCCCUUACAUGCGGACUCUCUCUGGAAUAAAACCCUAAAACGGAGACAGUGAUUGCUUUUGAGAAUGGGAACCGACGGAGAAGAGUGAAAGCAGACUUACCUGUCACUGCGCAGUUUUCACCAUCUGAAUUCUUUAUACUGAGCGUGUUUUAUCUUUUCCAAUAAAAAUACGUGCCACCCGUCUUUCCCACUGCAGC
rnacentral:lncRNA from 1 species